UACGAAGGGGGCUAGCGUUGCUCGGAAUCACUGGGCGUAAAGGGUGCGUAGGCGGGUCUUUAAGUCAGAGGGGAAAUCCUGGAGCUCAACUCCAGAACUGCCUUUGGUACUGAGGAUCUUGAGUUCGGGAGAGGUGAGUGGAACUGCGAGUGUAGAGGUGAAAUUCGUAGAUAUUCGCAAGAACACCAGUGGCGAAGGCGGCUCACUGGCCCGAUACUGACGCUGAGGCACGAAAGCGUGGGGAGCAAACAGG
rnacentral:rRNA from 1 species